UUGAGAGACAGAGACAGAGUGAGAGAGAAGGAGAGAAGGGGAGAUACUGGUGGAGGCAGAGAGAGACGUACAGAGACACACACUUGGCCAUAGGAACAGAAACGCCCAUCCCACCGGUCAGAGACGGUUAGAGAAGGGAGAAGAAGCUGCCAGGCCAAGGGGGUGGGGGUGGGGAGAAACAGAAACCGAGAAGAGAUUCAAAGACAGAGAGACAACAGCCAAACUCAAAGAGAGAGACACAGAAACAUAGAGAAAGAGACACACACACACACAUACCCUCUGCACAUUGUAGUGAGAGAGACCCAGAAACAGACCCAGGGACAUCAAAGGACAGCAUGGAGUCAGAAAGACAGGCAUUCAGAUAAAGAAUUUGGAACGGACAGUCAAGGCACAGACAGCCAAAGAGAGUCAGAAAUGGAGAGAGAGAGAGAAAACGCAGGAAAGAAAGAGACUCUGGGCUCCUCCUGUCUGCUGAGAUACAACUGGAUUUCCUGCAAGGCCCAGCGAGGGCCUCACCUCCCCUGGGAAGUCUUCUCUGAUCUAAGAGACACAUAAGAGAAUUCUGCUUCUCCAGCUUCAUGCUAUUAGGUGAAACCAUGGGUACAGGUCUGUGAAUCGCCAGGUUUAC